UUACUUAUCUAGCAAGGGAAACAACAUGAUCACAAAGGUGGUUUUCCCUGGGUGAGGCUCAUCCAUUGCACUCCAGGUGUUCUGACCCCUGCAAUUUCCCCAAAUGCGGGACACUCGACUGCAUAAUUUGUGGUACUCGUGUCCUUUGUUUAAUCUCUGU
ensembl:snRNA U1 U1 spliceosomal RNA